rnacentral:rRNA from 1 species
CCUACGGGAGGCAGCAGUGGGGGAUAUUGCACAAUGGGGGAAACCCUGAUGCAGCGACGCCGCGUGUGGGAAGACGGUCCUCUGGAUUGUAAACUACUGUCCCCAGGGACGAAGAUGACGGAACUUUGGGAGGAAGCUCCGGCUAACUACGUGCCAGAAGCCGCGGUAAUACGUAGGGAGCGAGCGUUGUCCGGAAUUACUGGGUGUAAAGGGAGUGUAGGCGGGGAUGCAAGUUGAGUGUCAAAGCUACCGGCUAAACUGGUAGUCGCACUCAAAACUGCAGCUCUUGAGUGGAGUAGAGGCAGGCGGAAUUCCUAGUGUAGCGGUGAAAUGCGUAGAUAUUAGGAGGAACACCAGUGGCGAAGGCGGCCUGCUGGGCUUUUACUGACGCUGAGGCUCGAAAGUGUGGGGAGCAAACAGGAUUAGAUACCCGGGUAGUC